rnacentral:lncRNA from 1 species
UGAUGGGAAUAUAUUUAAGCCACGUGGCGUGCUCGCGAUCACCGAGCGGGGCUAUCGCCUGGGAAAGCAUUAGCUAUGACUGACAGAACAUUUUCCUUUGAUGAGGGCGAAAAUUCAAAAAAAGAUACUGCUCAAAUUUCUGGUACCAGCUAAGUAUUGGAGCAAUAGCACAACAAAAGGCCUUCAUAACCAUUAUAAUGUGAUUGCAUAUAUUAUCUUAAUCUUUGGUCAUCAGUUACGCAUAUUUGGAUAUUGGAGGAUGAUCUGUCCACAGUUAUAAGCUGGCUUGAUGAUAAAAGGAGUCUCUCUUCAUCUUUGCAUCUCCAGAUUUUUGCAUCUCAAA